rnacentral:lncRNA from 1 species
AAGUUUUUCACAAGCUUUUGCUUUGUUUUGAAGAUUUUCGAGUUUAAAGCAAGUUUUGGAGCUUUGAGGUUCAAGAACUCAAAACCUCCCACCUUCGAGUUUAGGACGUCUCUCUCUCGAUCUUCAAGAGGUAAGAGCCGAUCUUAAGCUCAUUUCAUGUUUAAAGAAAUUUUUAUGCAAGAUCUAUGGGGUAGGAUGCAUGUUUAGCUCAUAGUUAGGUUUUUGAGUUAAUGUUAUGUUUUGAGCUUGUAUGAUGGAUUUGAGUUGUUGUUGUGUGUUGUAGUUGGGGUUUAAGUUAGUUUGAAGCCCCUAGGAGCCAAUGUAUGUAUUUUUGCAUGAUUUGGA